UCUUCUCUUUCUUCUUCUUCUGUUUCUUUCUUUCUCUAUUCUUCUCUGUGGAGAAUUUGAGAGUCAUGCAUAGCGAUUUGUUGAGCACGGUCAGUUGAUGAAGAUGUAUCAAUCAGGAUGGUGGCGAUGUUAUUGUGAAAUAAGAAAGAGAACAAUUUGGGAUCGGAGAAUUAACAGAGGAAAUCCAGUUAGGGUUUGUAAACGGUGUAUUUGGAUUCGUUGGAAUGGAUAGGCUAAUUAGGUUGUUGAUAAAUGAAGGAUAGAGGGUUGUUGUUUAAUUGAAGAUGUAUAACUGUUUUGAGGAAGAAUCAGUGAAGUUAGGGUUAGGGGAAAUUCAGAAUAAGAGUUUGAAGAUGAAAUUGAGAGUUUAAGGAGAAGAUUUGAGAUGGGUAUGAUUAAUAUGGAAGUUAGGGUUAGGUCUUGAAUUCGAAUUAGAAAAAUAGAGGAUUGGGAAUUUGUCAGGGUUUUUCAUAGAACCACUGGUGGUGUUGAAGAUUAUUGAAUUUGUUGAUGAGCUGUGAUGAGUUGCUGCAUUGAAUCGAGGUGAAGAAGAGAUUGAACACAAUUGCCUGAGUAUUAUUGUAUCGAGGUAAGAUUUCUUAUUAGAAAAUUUAUUGUAGUUAUUCAUUUUAGUUUUGAGUUCUUUUUGUAGUGGGUGACGUAAAAAUUGAGGAAGGGGUUUUCCGUGGAUGUGGAAUUAUAAAUCAUUGGUGGCGAUGCUGUUAAACCAGGGGUAGAAUGAGACUUAUCAUAUUGAGAAUGAAUGGAUAUGUAGUACUUAGAGUUUUGUAGUGGUGAUGGUUCUUGUGUUGUGUCUGGGAUGUGGUGGAAAUGGAAUUCAGGACAUGAAUAAGUUUGUGAUUGUGAAGUCAAUGUAAUGAACAUGACAAGGGAGUUGGUGUUAGAGUAUUGAGUUACAGAUGGAAAGAGUGGUUGAGUUGAGAUAAGUCUAGAGGGAGAUAAAUAUGAAUUAGGUGAGGGUUGAACAGCUGUAGGGGAUUAUGAUUUGUGUCUAAGGCAUAAGAUGUAUUAUCUAAAGAAGGUGGUGUUAUUGGUGCAGAUGAAGUGAAAUGAGUUGUAUCUGGAAUUGUAGUUGUUUAUAGGUGAAAGAACUGUAUGAGGUAUAUGAAUUGUAGAUGAUGGUUGGAGUACUCAGUGAUGCAAUGAGGGUUGCAGUUGAAGUUAUAGAUCAAGCAAAGACUCGACUGGUUUAGUGGUGACUAAAUUGUGUGUUUUCAACUGAGUUGUAUAUUGGUGGUACAGGGAGUGAGAAGAUUGUUGUAGCUGUUUGCAAGAGUCAAUCUGACUUUGGUAUAAUGGAGAUGGUGAUGUGUUACUUCAGGUUGAAUGGGUGCAAUGAUGAUUGUAGAGACUAGAUAAUAGCUCCAAAGGAGGCUUGCUACUGCAAUUGCGGAGGCAGUCAUACCCACUGAGGUACACCUGAAGACUACCAAGACCCGUGCUGUCGAAUCUGGAAACAAUGAGAGCACAUUGGCUUUAGAUAAAGAGCUGCUGGAAAAACAAAGAGAAAUAUCCUUGCAGCAAUUAGUUUGAUAUCAGCAGGCAAUCAAGCUGAGUUACGACCGAAAGGUCAAAGAACGAGCUUUUAAGCCAGGGGAGUAUGUCUUGAAGAAAACUCGAGCAGCCACAAUUCAGCCAAACUGCGGAAAACUCGGAGCAAAUUGGGAAGGUCCAUACAUAUAUAGUAAACAUACCCGCAUCUCAGGGCUCCUACUACCUAAGGAACCUCGAUGGUACUCAAGAUUCAAAACCAUGGAAGCCAUGGAAUUCGUUCCACUUGAAGAAAUUUUAUCAUUAGCUAGAUUCACAUAAGAGUAGUCUCGUUCAAAUCCUGUUGUGCUGCACUCUUUUUCCUUUCUGAUGGUUUUAUCCCACUGGGUUUUCCACGCAAAUGUUUUAACGAGGCAGCUGUUGUUGGGCAGUAGGUACUUAUAUUGUCAUUCUUAUUCAGAUAUUUAAUUCAAUAUUAUUUUGGUA